UACGAAGGGGGCUAGCGUUGCUCGGAAUCACUGGGCGUAAAGGGCGCGUAGGCGGCCUGAUAAGUCGGGGGUGAAAGCCUGUGGCUCAACCACAGAAUUGCCUUCGAUACUGUUGGGCUUGAGACCGGAAGAGGUAAGUGGAACUGCGAGUGUAGAGGUGAAAUUCGUAGAGAUCCGGAAGAACACCGGUGGCGAAGGCGGCCUGCUGGGCAGUAGCUGACACUGAGGCGCGACAGCGUGGGGAGCAAACAGG
rnacentral:rRNA from 1 species